UACGUAGGCAGCGAGCGUUGUUCGGAGUUACUGGGCGUAAAGAGUGCGUAGGCGGUUUUCUAAGUUUGGUGUGAAAUCUCCCGGCUCAACUGGGAGGGUGCGCCGAAGACUGGAAGACUAGAGUGUGGGAGAGGUAAGCGGAAUUCCUGGUGUAGCGGUGAAAUGCGUAGAUAUCAGGAAGAACACCGAUGGCGAAGGCAGUUCUCUGGGACGGUACUGACGCUGAGACGCGAAAGCGUGGGGAGCGAACAGG
rnacentral:rRNA from 1 species